GGUAAUUCCGGUUCUGUGUUCUCAACAGGAAGCCCCGCCUGCUCCUGCCUAGCGUUCACGUGACAUCGGUGCCCCGCCCCAGCGCGGCUUCCACUCUGACCGGGGAUGACUGCGUAGCCGUGACGCCGCGGGUGCUGGCCGGACGAGCUCCUCCCUCCCCCGCCCAGCCGGCGCCCGGUAGCCUGUGCCGGUAUUUGCGCCAUCUGCUGGAGGCACCCGCAGAUGGGCGAGGGCCCCCUCGCGCGCUUGAUGACUUUCUACUAUACCACAAUGUCUUCCUCAUGACUUCUAGAAUAAGAGGAAGGCUUCUGAGUUGCCAUCCCACUCCCCAUCUCCCCAAAAAGUCUCUCAUUAGGUGAAAUCAGUCCUGGAGAAACACAAGGAAAAGUUGAAGGAAUAAUGAAGUCAAACAGUAUUUAAUCUGGAGGAAAAGCCUAUGUGCUCAAGGAGGCUACUACUGCAUUAAGAACCAUGAUGAUCACAGUAGAAAAUGAUUCCCAAGGACCAAGGAAUUGUCUUCCAUGAAAAUAUCAUAUUGAUCUUAAUACAGAACAAUCUUUUAAAAUUAGUGGUCUUUGAAGGGGAAUAAGAAUAGAUAUGUAUAUGUGAAUGUAUAUCUUGAAAAAUAAUCAUACACAAUUACCAUGAAUGUGUGGAGAUUAAAAUUAUCCCACCUACAAUAAGAGACUGAGGCAGAGGUCUGGGCUAAUGGCACUUUAUUGAAGAAUCCAGGUUCCCCUUUAAUGAAGUGGAUCUCAAAUCUUCCUCAUGAUCUCAGAUGUCUCCUUCUUUCAGGGUCCUAUUUUUAUAGGGCUUCAUAUCUGGUCAUUCUGGAAGUUAUACCUGUAAUGGGCUGAAGCUCAGGUUGAUGCACUGAGGUCCCAAGCACGUGAGGCUAAAUAGUAAUUGGACCAUACUCUAUUAAUAUAUAUGCUUGGAGAAAGAAUGGCCCCUGCCCACUCUUUAUGCAAGUCCUGAUGUGUUGUAUAGGAAAUGACGAUUUUGGUGGGUGGAGGCAGAGGGGCAGGAAGAGAGGCGGGGAGAGACUGCUGGCUGGCUUCCUGUUGCAGCUGCACACAUUGCAAUUGUGAUCCCCCCUUCACCUCCAAUCCUUCUUCACCUCUACUGAGAAUAAAGACUGAAGAUUUUCCCUUAACCUGAAUUCCUGACUCUGGCUGAUUUUAAAAUAUGCGGUCAUCACAUCGCUUUCUUUUGUUUUAGAAUACAGGUGGUCAUGCCAUCCCUGACUCCUCAGGGAGGUCAGAGCCCCCAAGGGGAGGUGAUCACACCCUCCCUGGCUUCUCAGGAAAUGAGGUGAAAAUACCGAAAAGGAGGUGAUCACGACUCCCCCUCUUCUCCCCCUCCUUCCCCCCCUCUCCGACUUCUCAGGAAAAGAGGUGAAAAGGAGAUGAUCACGCCCUCCUUGACAUCUCAG
rnacentral:lncRNA from 1 species